CUACGGGGCGCUCCAGUGAGGAAUAUUGCACAAUGGGGGGAACCCUGAUGCAGCAACGCCGCGUGGAGGAUGACGCAUUUCGGUGUGUAAACUCCUUUUAUAUGUCAAGAAAAUGACGGUAGCAUAUGAAUAAGCACCCGCUAACUCCGUGCCAGCAGCCGCGGUAAUACGGAGGGUGCAAGCGUUACUCGGAAUCACUGGGCGUAAAGGACGCGUAGGCGGGUUGGAAAGUCAGGUGUGAAAUCCUACAGCUUAACUGUAGAACUGCACUUGAAACUUCUAAUCUAGAGUAUGGGAGGGGGAGAUGGAAUUAGUGGUGUAGGGGUAAAAUCCGUAGAUAUCACUAGGAAUACCUAAAGCGAAGGCGAUCUCCUGGAACAUUACCGACGCUAAGGCGUGAAAGCGUGGGGAGCAAACAGGAUUAGAUACCCUAGUAGUC
rnacentral:rRNA from 1 species